UAGCCGCCUCUGAACACUCCCCUUCUAUAAAACACUCUCUAACACUCGAAACCCUAGCCGCCUCUGUCGUCUUCUCCGACCAGUUCUCGCCGGAGUCUAUGGCUUCUCAAGCAAUGGACGGCCUGUGCUCACUUCCCUUCACCCCAAAUCAUUGCUGCUCAAGGAUUUAGAGGUUCAACCUCAACGAGACCUAUUCAGAUCCUCUGCCGAUUUGUGUUCCUGUGGCUUCCCUGGCUCUGUUCCGAUGUGUUCGAGCUAUAAAAGGCUUAGCUAUGGUUCAGACUUGUUCGAGACCAGAUUCUUUCUAGUCCAUCUCAUUGCUAAGGUUUCUGAGAAACCCUAAAAGCUUGUUCGAGGUUCCUUCUUCCUUUAUUUUUUUAGAUAUGUGAUAGAUCUGUGUUAUACUCAAAGUUUUAAAGCUUUUCCCUAAUUUUAUUUCCAUAUCUAAUCUGUUUAAAUUUAGGGUUUUCAAAAAUCUUGAAACGAUUUCUAUUUCUUCUUUUACUUCUUUCUUUAUGUGAAUCUGUCUGUUUAUGCCAUAUUUUAUGAGUUUUCGCUUAUGUUUUGUAUCCUUCACUAGCAUGUCUUCUCCUAUUUGUCGUUAUUACGCAUGUGCUUCUAUUUGUGCUAUGUUGCUUCUUCUACUGGUUUCUACAACAUGAUUUUUUCAUAUCUAUCUUAUGUGUUCGUUCACUAUUUUCCUACUGAGUUUUGUUUGCCUUUAUUGGACCUCUUUUUGUGUCCUAAACCUGUUUUGUCUGCGGUUGCUUAAAGAUCUAUGUCACCUCUUUUAUCUCCUAAACUCGCUUGAGUUAUGUCCUUUUCUGAUACAUGCUUUGUGAUAUUUUCACUCUCUUGCUUCAAAUUUGACAUUAUGUCUAUGUGCUUUCUCAUGAGACUCUCUGAGUCUGUUUUGAUGGCUUGCCCUCUCCUUUUUGUACCCUACUCGAAUAUGAAAACCUAGGGUUUGGGGUUUCUGCGAGUUUGGGUCUUUGUGCCUGGACUAGGGUUCUACUUUAGACCCUUGACUGAACUGGAAUCUUUUUGCUUAUGAUUUGAAACUUUCUAUGCCAGUCUUUUCUUUUUUGUUUCACACUUGUGUGCUUUAUAUAUGAAGAUUUUCUUUCAAAAUGAUCUUUCCAACUUGUUAUUUAUUCUGAAUUUCUUUUACUAAGGCUCGAUUGAUCUGUUACUGAUUUUCCCAACUGAACUUUUCCUCACCUUUUUUCUGACUAAGUUCAUUCGAACAAAGCUUUGAACUUACUGGCUGUUUAAUUGAUCUACUUUCCUUAUUUCUUACAAAUUAUGCACCAUAGGAAUCAUGCCUUAAAUAAUCUCUAUGUAUUCACCUGUGUUAUGUUACAUUGGAAAGGUUUUUAAUUAUUCUUCUUUCCUUAAUUGUCCCAUGGCCGUUUAAAAUCAAAUCCUAUAACCUUAUGGAGACCUUCUGUGAUUGAUUGUAAACUAUUUUCUUGCCUUUUGGUUACUCGUUUUUCUGCACUAUAAAAAGGGGACUACCCUUUUGCUCUUAGACACAACUUUUCCACACUACAGACCUCACAAAUACUUUUCACAAUUGAACACUACACAAUUGCAAUACUUUCUCUACUACUACUUUCUCUACUCCUAAUACUGAGCACUCUGUUCCUUUUCUCUUUUACUGUAUGAAACAUUCUUGAGUUCCUUUUGAACUCUCAAGUAUUUGCUGAAGAACUUGAGUUUGCUCCUGCUGACUUCCGGCUGUUUAUUUACUCUUAUUGUUCUGCUACUCUAGUGCUUGCAAGUGGUAUGAUAUUCUUGGUUAAAUAAUGCCCUCUCCUCUAUGUGUUUAUUUUCUGUCUUAGCCUGUUAUGCUUGCUUGCCCUGUGUAUCUACAUCCAAGUCUUUUAUGCCUUUUUUUUUAAUUAUGUUUCUGCAACUCUGUGCAUUCAUGUCUUAUGUGAAUCCUGAUCCAUUUACCCUUUUUGUAUGAAGAGUAUAGUUCUACUUAUGGAAAUAUCCUAUUGUUGCUAUCCAUGACUUUGAACUGGGUUCUUUUGAACCGUUACUGGCAAGCGCUAUAGUAG
rnacentral:lncRNA from 1 species